UACGUAGGGCGCAAGCGUUGUCCGGAAUUAUUGGGCGUAAAGAGCUCGUAGGCGGCUUGUCACGUCGAUUGUGAAAUCCCGAGGCUCAACCUCGGGUCUGCAGUCGAUACGAGCAAACUAGAGUGUUGCAGGGGAGACUGGAAUUCCUGGUGUAGCGGUGAAAUGCGCAGAUAUCAGGAGGAACACCGAUGGCGAAGGCAGGUCUCUGGGCCACUACUGACGCUGAGAAGCGAAAGCAUGGGGAGCGAACAGG
rnacentral:rRNA from 1 species